UACGUAGGGGGCAAGCGUUGUCCGGAAUCAUUGGGCGUAAAGAGCGUGUAGGCGGCCAGAUAAGUCCGCUGUGAAAUCUCGAGGCUCAACUUCGAGCUGUCGGUGGAAACUGUCUGGCUAGAGUCCGGAAGAGGAGAAUGGAAUUCCUGGUGUAGCGGUGAAAUGCGCAGAUAUCAGGAAGAACACCCGUGGCGAAGGCGGUUCUCUGGACAGUUCCUGACGCUGAGGCACGAAGGCCAGGGGAGCAAACGGG
rnacentral:rRNA from 1 species